rnacentral:piRNA from 1 species
UGUUUAGGCAUUGAAUAUUUU